ACUCGCGGGCUCGGCAAAGUGAACGCUCCUAAUUGGACAGUACCAAUUCCCGCGGCUCAGAACCGCCCCGACCAAAGGCUGCGGCUGCAAGUCAGAGUGUUGGGGACCAAACCCUGAAGUGGCAGGGGUGAGGUGGCUGUUGAAAGAGCCCUUUGCACUCUGAAGAGCAACAAAGGAAGCCGGAAGGGGGGCACUAUCUGAGGGGGCCAGCCUACCGGGGAGUGAAGGCACAAACCACGAGAACGCCUGCAAACUUUCCGAGCAGAGACAAGGAAGCCUCAAGCGGCAGCCUGCAGUACUUAGCCAGCCAGGCAGCAGGGAACCAGCACAGGGCUUCGCUGACUCCCAAGCACCCCACAAAUCCAGCUCCAACCUGUCUUCCUCGGGGAUGCCAUCAAAGAAGCCACGUCCUAUGAAAGGUGCCACAUAACCCAGCAGUCUGCCUGGUACUCACACGUGCCAUUAUACUUUAUUUAGGACUAUCUGAUCCAUGCCAGCCUCUCUAGAAUAGCACAGUCUGGGAGAACUUCCACUGUGACAGAGAUAUCCGUCUGUGCUCUCUUACCCCAGUGCCAUGUGACUGGUGAGCUCUUAAAAGACAGUUUGCAUGAGCAUCGAUCUGUUUAUUUUGUUUAAAUGAUUUCAGUGUAAGUAGCCACAGGUGAUCAGGGGCCACAAUUAUCAACUUUCACCACUGUAUGCCCAGCACUCAACACAAUGUGCACACAUAGUAAUCACUCAGUAAAUAUUUGUUCAAAGAUCAAAUCUGUAAAUCGAAGAUAUUACUAGUUAAUUGAUAUAGAUUGUAUCUUUUCCACAGAGGGGGAAAUAUUUUUAGCAUGACAGGUGUCGGGGGUCUCCUAAAGUUCUAGAGAGGUGAAUGUCACUUGUAAGAAACUCGUUUCUCGGGGGAAGCUGGGACAACCGUGGAAACAUACUGACCAUCCCUCUGCAGUCUGCUGCGGAAGGGCCCGGAUGGUGGUGCAUGCUCACACGUGGUCCACAGGCUCCACUGAAUACACGGAAGAGAAGCAGACACCGGUGUGCCAUCACCGGGGAGGUGACAAAAAGCCUUAGAUCAGAUCCAGAUCCACUUUUCUACAGUUAAGUAAUGUCCAGGGAGGAACAGGCCACAAAGUAUAAAAAGCAGCAUGUUAAAGAUACAAAAGCAACGACAGCGGUAACUUUCUGACCAGGGCCAAAGAAGACUAUCCCAUAGCGUCCAUCCUGGGAACUGUGAAAUCCCACAUGGUGGCCGUGACCACACGAAGACAUCUCCUCACACACCUCCCUAGCCUUGUUUCUUCCACCUUGCUUUCUGCACUAAGGACAUCUCUUCAUCCCUCUCACUUCCUGAGGGCCUCCAUGCCAGGGGCUUCACAGCCUCCAACAGUCCUCUCCCACAGUCCUUUGAGAGUCUUAGCACUGUCUGCAUCCACAGAUGAAUAGCUCAAGGCUGGUGACUGGCCUGCAAGCUCACAGCUAGUCUACGGUCCACCAGCCUGCUCUUCCCUCCUGAGGGGCUAACCUGUUUCCCCUGUGCCCGGCACAGUGCAUGCCCCCAUAGCAGGUCCACACGGCGUUUGCAUUCAUCUGGGCUUGCAUUCUGCGUGCUUUUGGAUGUCAGUGAAGUAGAGAAAAGCUUGCAGACAAGGUGAAGGAGCCCUGUCUUGUAGCAUUAUGUCUGGGGCACAAACACUUACGCUUAAGCUUGUUUCAAGCUACCAGUCUAUGCACAGACUGAGUGUCCAAUGGUGGCUCUCUGAACUGAGCUCACCUCCGGGUGCCACUGUCCCCUCUUCUCUUCCAGCAGCAUUCUCACACCUCUCUGCAUCCCCAGGAAACUGUGUCUGCUGUGCUGAGGCCUCUUCACCAGCACUCCUCACUAGUCUACUAUUCCACAGAGCUCUGGGCUCACCCCACACUGCCAGGUCCCCUGCAACUUUCUACUGACAAGCAGUGCAUUUUAGUAGUGGGGGGAUCUGCUACAGUCUGGCCUUUCCGCUAGCAAGCUGUGUGCCUCAGUUUACUUCUCUGUAAAGUGCUGAUAAAUAAUAAUAGUCGCUAUGCCUUUUGUGGCAGUUG